ACAGUUGGUAGAGAGAGACACUUCGAUCGUGGGUGAGACAAUUUGUGAGGCCAUUGUCCCGAUAGCAACUUGCUUCCCUCGCCGCCCAAUUUCCAGAGAUUCUCCAUUUCAAGCAAAACAUUCAAGCCCCCAAUGGCCACUCUCACCAUUGCCCCAAAUGUUGGGCUCUCCGAAACUUUCAACAGAUUGAGAAAAAAAAAGAAGGCAAAGUCUAUCUGCGGGACUAUCAUCAGUAUACAUCCUUACUUUUGGAAUAGCUUGAGUUGUAUAAUGCGAAUUCAUCAUUUUCGUGGUGACUAGUUCUAUUUGGUUUGGCUUAACGGUCAAGUCGUUCGAUGCGAGAGAAUGCAAAUUCCAUUUCCAAACGGGAGGAAGGUAGUCUCAGAGAAUAUGUCCUUUUCGCCCAAGCCUAUAAACUUAACACCUGAGCAUAUGGCAUCGAUGCUGUGCUGCUGUAAGGACUGAGAUGCUCCAAAAUAUAGUACAAGGGGGCAUCAUGUCGAACAGUACAUCGAAGAGGAUCUUCAUCUACUUGGUUGACCAGCCCAAGGAAGCCACAAAUUGCAUGCAGAGUCAAGACUUGGUGGUGCAGGAAUGAAGCUCCCCAUAAAGGAGUUUCCUCGCAUGUUGAUCAGUAUGCUAAGCAGACAGAUUAUCUGGUAUGUAUUGGACUCGUUGGGCCUCCAGCUUCAAGACCUGGUGGUUAAUGGUUAUGGUUCAGGUCUGAGUUUCUGUGGAGAGUUGCUUGUGUUUUUCUGGUCUCAAUCGUUUUCUUUGUUUCAUUCGUAUUGGCUUAUUAUGCUCACUGCAUAUGUUUUGUUGUUGUUUGGUUGUGUAAUGUCUCCUUACUAUGUGGUAUUGUUCUGUGUAGAUGUUAUGAUCAUCUGGCUGUAAGUUUUGUUUUUUGUUGAAUAGGAAUUUUCGUUUUAGCUAGACAAUUGGUAUGGCAUGGGUCCUAUUAACAGCGAAAUUAGUCAUAGCUUGAGUCAUGUACAACUCCAAUAUUAGGUGAUGGUAGCAUUUUAUAUUAUGGAAAAGAGAUUAUUAUUAACAGUUGUGGAGUAUUUCUGAAGUGCUAUGCUAAAUAUAUAUGGGUCUUAAAGUUUGGAAAGUUACUUCUCUCUAAAGUGGUGGAGUAUCUAUAUAUUUCUUAAAAAUUGUUUAUCAUUUCAGAUUGUCUAUCAUGGCUACAACAAUUUGUAUUAAGAGGAUUGCUAGCUACAGUUGCGCUAUAGAAGGAUAGUCGCCCGCCUUAUUGGUUGAAAAAUCAAUCAUAAAAGGUAUAAUUAAUAUUUCUUUCCUACUUUAAUGGAACUUUAAAACUUAACAUUUUAUGACCAAAUUAGCCUUUAAAAUUCUAACCUCUUUAUUUUCUUUGGGCGUUUGUAUAUAUACAUACAUGUAUAAAACCUUCAUUAUUUAUCUUUUUGUACAUUUGUCUUUAUAUGUGUGUGUGUGUGAAUCUUUAGUUUUCAUCGUUAUUAAGUUUUAAUUGAAGUAAUAUUAUGAGAUUGAGUUUUAAUUGAAUUAAAAUUAUAGAAUUUGAGUUUUAGUUAACUUGUAAAAGAAAAAUAAGAAUGGUUUCAUAAUUCAUACAUGAUAUGGUUAACCAUAUAUGUUUAGGAUAAUGUUUAGCUCCUAAACAUCACAUUUAAUAAUAAAAUAAUUCAUACUUAAAAACACUAUAUACAUUUAUUCAAUGAUUGAUCCGAGAAAGUAAAGAAAGAUGUAGAUUGUUUUAUUACUAAAGGUAACGUGUUAUUUUGUAAUUGGACCACAUAUGGGUGAGUAACUUCACCCUAUUCAUCAGUGAGUAGCUAAGCAUUGUCCGUGUGUUUAUAUAUAUAUAUAUAAACAAAGAAAAGGAAAAGAACUGAAAAAAGAAAGGAAAUAAUCUAUUCACACGAGUUUUGGUCAUAAAAAAAACUACUAAAAAAAAUAAUAAUAAUAAUGAAGGAAGAUUAGAAAAAACAAAUGAAAGAAGGAAGAUUAUUCCUAUGGUAGGAGGGGAAAAUGUUAAGUUAUAAAAGUUAAUUUGGUCAUAAAAUGUUAAGUUUUAAAGUUUAAUGAAAAUAAAAAAGAUGCAUUAAUUAUAUCUUUUAUGAUUGGUUUUCAACCAAUAAGAGGCGCGACUGUCUUUCUACAAUCGCAUAUUAGACUGUAGCUCCUCCUUGUAUUAAUAGACUAAAAGGUUGAAUUCUUCUAAUCAUUUUGCAAUAUCAUGCCACAAAGGUAAUAAGUGGCCACUAUAUAAUUGAGUGUUGAGUGGUUUAUAUUAUUAUUAUUUAUUUCUAUAUUGAACAUCAAAGUUGAACGAUUCAUGCAACUUUUUGAAAGUUUAAAUUCAAUUCUACUUGUCGAAAUUUAGAAAGGUUUAUAUUUUCUAAUCAUUUUGCAAUAUCAUGCUGCAAAGAUGGUAAUAAGUGGCCAAUUUGUGGCCACUGUAAAUUGAGUGGUUUAAAUUUAAUUUCAUUUUGAUUGAAAAAAAAAAAAUCAAAGGUGAUCAGUUGAAGCAACAUUUAAGGACUCGUACGUUUUGUAACAACUCAAGUUGUUGAAGGUAAAUUAAUAAUGUACGACAGCCCCAUGAAGUUGUUGAAGGUAAAUUAAUGUAUGACAGCCACAUCAAUGUACUGAAAUAAUUGAGAGCAGUUCAUGGUGAAGGACCAGGUACUCUCAACGUGUCCGGUCAUUAGAUGAAUUGUGAAACUUCUCUCAAUCAGUUGAAUAAACCUUCAUGUGAUUACAUUUUUCAAUAAAUUACUAAGUGGACUACGAGGCAAGGUAGGAAACACGAAUCUUCUUUAAUACCAAGUUUUGUAUUGUAAU